CCCGCUCAGAAACUUAAAGGAAUUGACGGGGACCCGCACAAGCGGUGGAUGAUGUGGUUUAAUUCGAUGCAACGCGAAAAACCUUACCCACCUUUGACAUGGCAGGAAGUUUCCAGAGAUGGAUUCGUGCUCGAAAGAGAACCUGCACACAGGUGCUGCAUGGCUGUCGUCAGCUCGUGUCGUGAGAUGUAGGGUUAAGUCCCGCAACGAGCGCAACCCUUGUCUUUAAUUGCCAUCAUUGAGUUGGGCACUUUAAAGAGACUGCCGGUGUUAAACCGGAGGAAGGUGGGGAUGACGUCAAGUCCUCAUGGCCUUUAUGCCCAGGGCUACACACGUGCUACAAUGGGUGGUACAAAGAGCAGCCAGCUCGCGAGAGGGAGCUAAUCCCAUAAAGCCAGUCGUAGUCCGGACCGCAGUCUGCAACUCGACUGCGUGAAGUCGGAAUCGCUAGUAAUCGUGGAUCAGAAUGUCACGGUGAAUACGUUCCCGGGUCUU
rnacentral:rRNA from 1 species